rnacentral:lncRNA from 1 species
GGCCAGUGGUGGGCAACAGCUGAACACUGUUGAGCCAGUGCUAGACCAAUAACCAAAAGUCUCUCAUGUUAUGAAGGGCCUCCAGGGGCCUAGUGGGAAUGAGCAUCUUCCUGGACCUGCAAGGCACGUCUCAUUUUCCCAUAGAUGGGUUGGUCGUGAGUGUCACGGUUGGAUUAGAAGCAGACAGUAGGACACAUGUUUGUGCGCUCGGUAACGAACUGUGACCACGCCACAUCUCUCGCUUUUUCUCUCUUGAGGUUGGCCCUGCCCUCUCACCAGGGCCAUUACAGGGCCAGGCAGCAGGGGGGCGC